rnacentral:rRNA from 1 species
GAAAAGCUCAAAUUUAAAAUCUGGCAGAUUUUUGUCUGUCCGAGUUGUAACCUAGAGAAGUGUAACCUGUGCUGGACCGUGUACAAGUCUCCUGGAAUGGAGCAUCAUAGAGGGUGAGAAUCCCGUCUUUGACAUGGACUACCAGUGCACUGUGGUUGCACACUCAACGAGUCGAGUUGUUUGGGAAUGCAGCUCUAAAUGGGUGGUAAAUUCCAUCUAAAGCUAAAUAUUGGCGAGAGACCGAUAGCGAACAAGUACCGUGAGGGAAAGAUGAAAAGAACUUUGGAAAGAGAGUUAAACAGUAUGUGAAAUUGUUGAAAGGGAAACGCUUGAAGUCAGCUGCAUUGGCUGGGGAUCAAGCCAGCUUAUUUGCUGGGUGUACUUCCUGGUUGAUGGGCCAACAUCAGUUUUGACCAUCAGAGAAAGGCUAAGGGAAUGUGGCACCUUUAUAGGUGUGUUAUAGCCCUUGGUUGUAUGUGAUGGUUGGGACUGAGGAUAGCAGCGUGCCGCAAGGCCAGGUUUCGACCAUGUUCACGCUUUGGAUGUUGGCAUAAUGGCUUUAAGCGACCCGUCUUGAAACACGGACCAAGGAGUCUAACAUGCAUGCAAGUGUUUGGGUGGAAAACUCAAGCGCGUAAUGAAAGUGAAAGUUGAGAUCCCUCUCACAGGGGAGCAUCGACGCCCGGACCAGAACUUUUGGGACGGAUCUGCGGUAGAGCAAGCAUGUUGGGACCCGAAAGAUGGUGAACUAUGCCUGAAUAGGGUGAAGCCAGAGGAAACUCUGGUGGAGGCUCGUAGCGAUUCUGACGUGCA